CACGUAGGGGGCGAGCGUUGUCCGGAUUCAUUGGGCGUAAAGCGCGCGCAGGCGGCUCGGAAAGUCGGGUGUGAAAACUCGGGGCUCAACCCCGGGCGUGCAUCCGAUACUGCCGGGCUUGAGGCAGGUAGGGGAGAUCGGAAUUCCUGGUGUAGCGGUGAAAUGACGCAGAUAUCAGGAGGAACACCGGUGGCGAAGGCGGAUCUCUGGGCCUGUCCUGACGCUGAGGCGCGAAAGCUAGGGGAGCGAACAGG
rnacentral:rRNA from 1 species